AUAAGCGGUAGCGCGUUCGACGCGUUCAAGUCGCGCGUGCCGGCGGCGUGCAGCCCGCGGCUGUACAUCACGCUGGCGCGCGGCCUCCCCGGCACGCGCCGCUUACACCGCCGCACGCUGGAGGCCAUGCGUCUCCGCCGUUACCACCGCACCGUCGAUCACCUCACCGUGCCCCCCUCCCUCCUCGGCAUUCCCACCCAGUUAAAGCGCCUCGUCGCCGUUGAGACCCAGGAGAUGCACGACGCGCGGAGGCACGCCGACGAGCUGCGCCGCGCGCCCAGGCCGCCGCUCGUCGUAUCGCACCAUCGUCCGAUGCCGACCGCGCAGCAGCCUCAUCCACUCAUUCUGAUAAGCUCCUUCCUCUAUGGAUUCUCGCUCUUGUCUCGUCUUCCCCAUAAGAGAAGAAAUGUCUUGAUUGUCUUGACUGCUUGCGCGUGCGGUGUUUGA
rnacentral:rRNA from 1 species